rnacentral:rRNA from 1 species
AUACGGAAGGUCCGGGCGUUAUCCGGAUUUAUUGGGUUUAAAGGGAGCGCAGGCGGAGAUGCAAGCGUGACGUCAAAUUUCGGGGCUCAACCCCGUCUCGCGUCGCGAACUGCGUCCCUUGGUUGCGGGAAGGGGAGGCGGAACUCGUGGUGUAGCGGUGAAAUGCAUAGAUAUCACGAAGAACUCCGAACGCGAAGGCAGCCUUCCGGCCCGUCAACGACGCUCAUGCUCGAAGGUGCGGGUAUCAAACAGGAUUAGAUACCCUGGUAGUCCGCACAGUAAACGAUGGACACCCGCGGUUUGGCCUAUAUGGCUGAGCCGCCAAGCGAAAGCGUUAAGUGUCCCACCUGGGGAGUACGCCGGCAACGGUGAAACUCAAAGGAAUUGACGGGG